rnacentral:snRNA from 1 species
AUACUUAUCUGGCCGGGGAGAUAUCUAUGAUCACGAAGGUGGUUUUUCUAGGGCGAGGCUUAUCCAUUGCACUCUGGAUGUGCUGACUCCUGUGAUUUUCUCAAAUGUGGGAAACUCGACUGCAUAAUUUGUGGUAGUGGGGGACUGCGUUCGUCGCUCUCCUCUG